UCGGCACCCACGGCAGUGCCUUUGUUGUAGCCAUCGCUCACAGAGUUAGCCCCUCCACCGUACCUGUUGUAGUAAGAUUUUUGGAACCCCUUCGCCAACCCAGCACCGCUGAUUGCGCCGGCGACCUGUGCCACUAUGUACAGCAACGCCCUCACCAACGACACCUUGCGCCCCAGGAACAACCCAAACGUCACUGCAGGGUUGAUGUGGCCCCCUGAUACAGAAUAUAAAAAAGUUAACUAAUUGAAGCAGUAAAAAAUUGAGUGCGAGGUGAUCGACUAAAGUUCAGCUUUUGUACCGGAGAUGCCGGCGGUGCAGUAAACGAGGACGAAGAUCAUGCCACCGAAGGCCCAAGCGAUGCCCAAAAUGCCUACCCCGUCGCACUCGCUGGUACCGGAGAUAUUGGGGUCGGUCUGUCUCUUGUAGCCGAUAAUGGUCAAGA
rnacentral:lncRNA from 1 species